rnacentral:rRNA from 1 species
AAAUUGAAGAGUUUGAUCAUGGCUCAGAUUGAACGCUGGCGGCAGGCCUAACACAUGCAAGUCGAGCGGUAGCACAGAGAGUUUGCUCUCGGGUGACGAGCGGCGGACGGGUGAGUAAUGUCUGGGAAACUGCCUGAUGGAGGGGGAUAACUACUGGAAACGGUAGCUAAUACCGCAUAA